rnacentral:lncRNA from 1 species
UUUUUUUUUUUUUUUCCCAUACCCAGGAAAUGUAGAAGUUCCUGAGCCAGAGAUUGAACCCACACCACCGUAGUGACCCCAGCCCCAGCCGCUGCAGUGACAUCCCCGGAUCUUUAACCCACUACGCCACAGCCAGAUCGUGGCAAAAUUCUAAUCUUAGAAAAUAUUCCCUGCACUUUUCCAUCAACCUCGCCUCAGCCCUGGAAACAUAUUGUGUCUGUGUGAUCAUUAAUUUAGGUAGCAAACAGAAUGAACUGGAGCCAUGGAAAUCUAGAACACAGUAGGUAUUUAAUGAAUGCUUUGUGAUAGAUUGAUCAACGGAUAGUAGGAAGUACAUGCUCGGCCUUCUUCCAUCCAUCUUCUCUGCUAGGUUUAUGGCACUCAGUUUCCCACAGUUGUGCCCCUCCUCCAGACACCCACUGCCCUGCCCCUCUCUUCUCAGUUACUUUGAUUGGGCCAAGAUAGGUCUGUUCUCUACUGAAUUAGGUAAUGAAGCAAUUUUUUUUAAAAGUCUCAUUUUUAAAAAACAACAAAAGCAGCAAUAAGAAAAGACUCCAGGAAUAAGCAACCCUUCAACAAAACAGUCUGUUAAUACUUGAGAAAAAAAAAAAAAGAACAGCUAUGGUCUGACUCUACGCUCUCCCACCCCCAAAUCACCACAACUUAUGACAACAGUCACUUAGAAGGACCGCAAAAUCACUGCCGCUGAACCACGCUGGCCUCUGGCUUUAUAUACCCCUUCUCCUAUAAACAACAUCCUCUUUGAACCAGUGAGGUACCAGUGUGGGGUUACUUCUGACUCAUUCUAGUGGGGAAAGUGCCCCUGGUUCAGCUCCUGUGGUGACCAUGGGAGAAUUGUUGUUAGCUCUUGAAUCGAUUAUACAUAUAUAUAUAGUAUAUAUACAAUAUACAAUGAAUGUUGACAUAUAUUCUUUUAUAGAUUCUUUUUCCUGAGAGGUUAUCACAAAAUAUUGGGUGUAGUUCUCUGUGCUAUGCAGUAGGUCCUUGUUGGUUAUCUAUUUUAUAUAUAGUAGUAUAUAUAUGUUGAUCCCAAACUCCUAAUUUCUCCCUCCCCCACCUUUCCCCUUUGGUAACCAUAAGUUUAUUUUCUGUGUCUGUGGUUGAAUAUGCUGUAGUCAUUAAAAUUAUUAAAGUAAGAAAACUGGAAAAAAAUCAAUGCAUCUCUAUUUUACUUUCUUUCUUUCUUUCUUUCUUUUUUGUCUUUUUAGGGCCACACCCACACAUAUGGAGGUUCCCGGGCUAGGGGUUGAAUCAGAGCUGUAACCACUGGCCUACGCCACAGCCACAGCAAUGCAGGAUCCAAGCCACACCUGCAAACUCUCCGUGAGCUCACAGCACGCCAGAUCCUUAACCCAGUGAUCGAGGGCAGGGAUCGAAUCUGUGUCCUUAUGGAUACUGGUCAGAUUCAUUUCCACUGGGCCACGACGGGAACACCUCUAUUUUACAUUUUGGAGGAAAACAUAGAAGAAUGUUAUAAAGCCAUGCCUGGCAAAUGCUGGCCUGAAGGCAAUUUUAGGCCUGCGUGUGAUUUUAUAUGGCCUACAAGCUGUGAAUUGUUUUUAUAUUCUUAAACGGAAAGGAAAAAUCAAAAGAAGGAUAUUUCAUAAUAUGUGACAUUAUAUGAAAUUCAAAUUUCAGGGUUAAGAAACAAAGUUUUGUUGGAACCCAGCGUGGUUCUCUGCUAGGUUUAUGGCACAUCUGCUUUCACACUGUGAUGACAUGGUAGAGUUGCUAUGCCAGAGGCUGGUGAUCCACAAAGCAUAAAAUACUCAUUACCUGGCCCUUUACAGAAAAGUUUGUCAACUCUAGAAUAAAGAAAGAAAAAAAGUAAAUUUUCCAUUUUCCCAAAGAAACAUUUUUUUCAAUUUUUUCCUGUUUUGUUCCUAUUGAUCAAGGAGGUCUUGCUUCAUUUCAUGUUUUCUUAAAGUCAUAUUUUUCUCUUGAAAGUAGCUUAAUCACUGUAGAGAUGGAAAGUGGCACAGAAGGGUAAAGAAGAGAAAGAACUAUCCCCAAUAAAUACUCUCAACAUCCAGAGAAAACAAAUGCUACUAUUUAUAACAUAUUCUUUCAAUCUUUUUAAAGUGCAUUUUCCCAGUUUUUACAAAAUCGAGCUCAUGAUAUGUGGCAUUUUGCUUUCUUUCACUUAAAUUUAAAUCAUGACUAUUUCGAAGUUCCCAUCAUGGCUCAGCAGUAAUGAACCUGAAUAGUCUCCGUGAGGAUGUAGGUUCGAUCCCUGGCCUUGCUCAGUGAGUUAAGGAUCCGGUGUUGGUGUGAGCUGUGGUGUAGGUUGCAGACAUGCCUUGGAUCCCGUGUCACUGUGGCUGUAGUGUAGAAUGGCAGCUGUAGCUCUGAAAGAAAGAAAGAAAGAAAGAAAGAAAGAAAGAAAGAAAGAAAGAAAGAAAGAAAGAGAUCUAAAUCAUGAAUAUUUCCUGCAAAAUUUUUAAUACUAAAAUCAACUACAAUGAAAUGUUUCUCUCCACUCCUUGAAUAAUACCUUUUGGACUAUCUGUCAUCAAAAAUGCUCUUCUUUUUGUCCAGAAUAAAAAAGAAAGUAGUUGAAGCCCCAUUUCUGUGAGUUUAGAAGAGCCGUCUUAGAAUCCUUUCAAGUUACCCAGAAUCUUUAUGAUUCGUUUUCUAUUUCUUUGAAGAAAUAAGACUUUUUCCUUUAAUAAGCAAACCACUAAAAAUACAGAUUGCCCUUUUCUCGACUUUUGGUUUUGAAUCUAACAGGAGAUUAAGAACCUUUUUAGUUGGGGUUUUAUUGGUUUCUAUAUUGUUAAGUAUAGUAUUUCUGCAUGUCUGUAAGAUCCUCCCUGUAUCUAUGUACGAAUACUAACACGAAACAGAACUACGCUUGCAGAGUUAUGCCAAUUCCUUCUGUGAGAGCAACUGUUGAAAAGCAUUACUAAUUACUGGAAGGGUCAUGUUAUUUUGUUAUCAAAGGACAUAUAUUGAAAAUAAAAGUUGUUUUGAAACCACACCUAGCAACAGGUCAUGGUACUGCAGAGCUAUUAUAUUUAAGCCAAGUUAUUUCUUUAGGUCUAAGUGACAAAGAAUCAACAUAAAAAGAUUAAAGGAUGGAGGGGCAGGGAAUCUUUGCUGCUUGGUACUGGCUUUCCUUGCUAUCACAAAUGGAGAUCCCCAAACUGCUGGAAAAUAAGCUGUGUUGAAAAGGAAUGGUUCCAGUUCCAUGCAUGGCUUUUAUUCUAUGCAGGAACCGGAGUUGCUUUUGUUUUACAUGACAAUUUCUAUUACCCAGAUGGAAUUGAGGGACAUUGAAUCAAUUUGAAAAACCCAAGUUUUUACUAUAAGUGAUGCAUGUCAGGGGAUGGGUCCUCACUGUGGCUAACCAGAGGGUGGACUUGAAUUCAUUCUGGUUCCUUUAACUGCACAGAGUUUACUGCACAGCACGAAGUAAGUUUACUGGAAUGAGGACAGACUGGUGAUUAGCUAUGAUCCAUAAACUUUAGUUCACUGAAACCCCAAUCUAGGCUGUUUGUUGCAAUUGCAGCAAUUUAUGUACACACCCAACAAGAAGGAGAGUGGAGAAAAAGUGGGGAAAUGGAGAGAAAGAAGGAAGGAAGGAAGGGAGGGAGGGAGGAAGGAAAUAUGAAAAUCUAUUAAUUAUAACAUCUUUCAUUAGUAUCUCUGUGUGUUAACAAUGGAACCAUUGCAGCUGAGAAUGUCUUUGUUGAUUUAGAGCCAGGAAGAACUUCAAACCCUGUGGGCUGAAAAUACAUGCAUGUUUUCAGCGGCUCUAGGCUCUCAAAUGUUUGUGGCCAGAUGUAGUGAUGAAGUGGAGAUCAUUCUUUCCAUGAGGAAGAACGGGGCAAGGAAACACAGUGCUGAAAUGCAGUGAGAAUGACCACAGACCUUGAGGUUGGACUGUGCCGAGUGGUCAGAUUGCUCAUCGCCCAAAGCAGGCUGACAAUGCCCACCUCCCUCCCCCGAAAGGUGGGAACCCCAAGGGCUAUGGGAGAGCUUGGCGCACAGGAAGCUGCAUCAAAUGAUCACGGAGCUUUACUGAACUGAGGACGUUCAGCAAAACUGGCUCCCUGAAAACAAGAGUGCUUUUUAGGGCACGUGCAGGGAAGAGCUGGUAUUUCAAAAGCCACAGUGUUAAUUAUCCCUCAGCGAGGUUCGGGUAGAUUCUCUGCACUCCACAUAUUUGACACGGUCUUUGAAAGUGGAUGAGCCACGUCCAGGUGCAAAUGCUUUCUCCAAGGUUCUACGCCCUACUUCUUCUGGAAGGAAGAAGCUUCUCCCGAUCAUCUGCUGUAGCACCUGCGUUCUGACCCAGGCUCUUGAGACAAAGCCAGCCAAAGGCAAACUGGGUGAUUGUAAAAAUUCGUUUCUAAUAAUAAUUCGUUGUUAACUUCAAGCUAAAUGCAGCUGGCUCUGUGAUGGGCUGGACGGGAGCCAGGCUAUGGAGAAUGGAAGCAAAAGCCCUGUGUGGGGAGUUGACAUACUUCAGCUUGGAACUGGAUUGCUGGGUUAGGGAGAUGAAAGGAAGUCUUGGGUAUGACUGGGGAGCAGAGGAUGGAGCUGAAGUCUGCUCCUCACCUCUAUCCCCACCCCCAGUUCUUGGUCCUCCCUGAGCCAGUGAACAGGAAAGACGUCACAGCCACUCAACUCCUUUUCUCCCAGGAGCAAAGUGGAAGGUACCUUUGUUUCUCAUAGUUGGAAGGUAAUUUUUUUUGGUCCCUAAACCCUAACCAGAAAGGUCGUUCGAAGGCUCAGACACACGCUUAUGCUGAAAAGAAGUGGCAAGGUUAGGAUCUAGGCAAGCUAGGUGGGUGGUGCCAUAACUGCUCUCAGCCUCAGGAAGCCAAUAAUAAUCAUAGCUAACUUUAUAAAGUGUUUCAACACAUUCCUCUUUAAUCAUCCCUUCAACUCCAAGAGCGAGGCUUCUAUUAUUCCCAUUUUACAGAUACAGAAAUAGAGACACAAUGUAAUUAAUGAGCCCAAGUUCAUACAGCUGGCCCCGUAGUGAUCAUGCCUUUGAUUUUCUGGGCACAUCAUUUUUUAGCAUAAAGACUUCAUCUCUCAGCUUCUCAGGCAGUUGGGUACAGACACAGACUAAGAGCUGGCCAAUGGGCUAUGAGGGGAAAUGUUACAGCGUGGGUCACCUCUGGGACUUGCCUUUAAAGGGAAAGGAAGGAACCUCCCCCUCUCUCCUCUUCCACCUUCCUGCUGCUUGAAAUGAUGAAAUAGUGAGACAUCUUGGGCCUUACAGCAGAAGGCACCAUCCUAUGAAUGGUGGCACCAGAUCCCAAUUCCUGACAGCCUCGUGGUGUAGACCAGCCAUACCAUUCCUGGGGCCACCAAGCUCAGACUAUUAAGUGGGGGAAAAUCAUUCUUGUGGAAACCUUCUUUU